rnacentral:rRNA from 1 species
UACGUAGGGUGCGAGCGUUGUCCGGAAUUAUUGGGCGUAAAGAGCUUGUAGGCGGUCUGUCGCGUCUGCUGUGAAAAUCCGGGGCUCAACCCCGGACUUGCAGUGGGUACGGGCAGACUAGAGUGUGGUAGGGGAGACUGGAAUUCCUGGUGUAGCGGUGAAAUGCGCAGAUAUCAGGAGGAACACCGAUGGCGAAGGCAGGUCUCUGGGCCACUACUGACGCUGAGGAGCGAAAGUGUGGGGGGCGAACAGG